rnacentral:rRNA from 1 species
UACAGAGGGUGCGAGCGUUAAUCGGAAUUACUGGGCGUAAAGGGUGCGUAGGCGGUUACUUGAGUCGGGUGUGAAAUACCUGGGCUUAACCUGGGAAUUGCAUUCGAUACUGGGUGACUGGAGUAUGGUAGAGGGUAGUGGAAUUCCGGGUGUAGCGGUGAAAUGCGUAGAUAUCCGGAGGAACACCAGUGGCGAAGGCGGCUACCUGGACCAAUACUGACGCUGAGGCACGAAAGCGUGGGGAUCAAACAGGAUUAGAUACCCUGGUAGUCCACGCCCUAAACGAUGAGAACUAGCUGUUGGGAGUGUCUGACUCUUGGUAGCGAAGCUAACGCGCUAAGUUCUCCGCCUGGGGAGUACGGCCGCAAGGUUAAA